GCAGGUAGCUGUCCUGUAAUUAAGAGAUUUGGAGAAUUGCCUCAAGAUCCGGAGUCACAAGGACAAUAUAUUUUAGAGAACUCUUCCCCAUGGCAAAAAAGAAUAGUUAAGCAAUGUAACCUGAUAUAUUGACCAUGUCUGAGAAAGUACAUGCCUCAUUCUACAUCUACUGUCUACCAAGUCUCCACUGAGAGCAAGACAAUAUUUUACUGUCAGUCAUCUUAAGAAAAGAUGAGUCAUUGCAUUGAUUAGAGUUUUGAGGUCUUUCAAGAAAGAAGGAAAAGAGGAGGGAAGGAAGGAAACAUGUAUUAAGCACUUACUAUGUACUUGGCACUGUGCUAAGCCUUAGGCAGUAAAAUACAAGCAAAAAGAAAGACAAUCCCUGCCCUGAUGAAGCUUACAUUCGAAGAAAGGAAAACAACACAUAAAAGGAAGCCAAAAUUGGAAGAAGAGAUGAAGAUACCUUGCAUUCUGUGUGAUUAAAUAGCAAGAAUGUCUCAGGCACUUAAGGAAGUCCUAGAAUGAGACAGAAAUAGCAAAAGUAUGGUUUCAAAGUCCAGAAGUGAGGAAUAGAGCUGAGAGAUUUAGUCAUUACAUCUCCCAUCAGAAUGUAAGCUCCAUUUGAGUAGACUUGGUUUUAUCCACUGUACUUGUAUCUACAAAACCUAGCAAAGGAAAGCUUUGGGAAGAAUUUGUACUCUACAUUCCAGCCCUUCAAUCAGAGAGGAAAGGAGGCUGAAGUAGAUGAAUCUUUUCUUCAGAAGUCUUCUAAACCUUCAUCCUAUCCUCAUUUGAAGUCAUUCACUGUGAGUUCCUACUUUUCUCUUUUAAGUUUAUAUUUCUCUGACAUAAUACCCAAUUAUUUCCAAAUUCAAUUCAAUUCAAUUUCUGUUGAAGAGGUAAUGUCUUUUAGUCAAGGUCAGUCCCUUUAUAUGCAAUCUUAAUCCUAUCCCUUCCCAUCUUCUCCAACAGAUUGGUCCCAGGAUCAUCUUAACUCUCUCUUUAAUCUUCAGUGUCUUCCUAUCUUUUGCUUCCAUCACUACUUCUUACAAACAGAUCCAUGUCUCCCCAUGCUUAUAAAAAAAAACCUUCACUCUCUUCUCUCACUCCUCCUAAUUAUUGUC
rnacentral:lncRNA from 1 species